rnacentral:rRNA from 1 species
UACGGAGGGUGCAAGCGUUGUCCGGAUUUAUUGGGUUUAAAGGGUACGUAGGUGGGCCUUUAAGUCCGUGGUGAAAGCCCGCAGCUUAACUGUGGAAUUGCCAUGGAUACUGGAGGUCUUGAAUUCAGUUGAGGUUGGCGGAAUUUAUGGUGUAGCGGUGAAAUGCAUAGAUACCAUAAAGAACACCUAUUGCGAAGGCAGCUAACUGGACUUGAAUUGACGCUGAGGUACGAAAGCGUGGGGAGCAAACAGG